GAGCUUGCUCCAUGAUUCAGCGGCGGACGGGUGAGUAAUGCCUAGGAAUCUGCCUGGUAGAGGGGGACAACGUUUCGAAAGGAACGCUAAUACCGCAUACGUCCUACGGGAGAAAGUGGGGGAUCUUCGGACCUCACGCUAUCAGAUGAGCCUAGGUCGGAUUAGCUAGUUGGUGAGGUAAAGGCUCACCAAGGCGACGAUCCGUAACUGGUCUGAGAGGAUGAUCAGUCACACUGGAACUGAGACACGGUCCAGACUCCUACGGGAGGCAGCAGUGGGGAAUAUUGGACAAUGGGCGAAAGCCUGAUCCAGCCAUGCCGCGUGUGUGAAGAAGGUCUUCGGAUUGUAAAGCACUUUAAGUUGGGAGGAAGGGCAUUAACCUAAUACGUUAGUGUUUUGACGUUACCGACAGAAUAAGCACCGGCUAACUUCGUGCCAGCAGCCGCGGUAAUACGAAGGGUGCAAGCGUUAAUCGGAAUUACUGGGCGUAAAGCGCGCGUAGGUGGUUUGUUAAGUUGAAUGUGAAAGCCCCGGGCUCAACCUGGGAACUGCAUCCAAAACUGGCAAGCUAGAGUAUGGCAGAGGGUGGUGGAACUUCCUGUGUAGCGGUGAAAUGCGUAGAUAUAGGAAGGAACACCAGUGGCGAAGGCGACCACCUGGGCUAAUACUGACACUGAGGUGCGAAAGCG
rnacentral:rRNA from 1 species